CCUACGGGAGGCAGCAGUGGGGAAUAUUGCACAAUGGGGGAAACCCUUAUGCAGCGACGCCGCGUGAGUGAAGAAGUAAUUCGUUACGUAAAGCUCUCUCAGCAGGGAAGAAAAUGACGGUACCUGAGUAAGAAGCCCCGGCGAACUACGUGCCCGCAGCCGCGGUAAUACGUAGGGGGCAAGCGUUAUCCGGAUUUACGGGGUGUAAAGGUAGCGUAGACGGUGCGCCAAGUCUGGAGUGAAAUGCCACAGCGUAACUGCGGAACUGCUUUGGACACUGGCUAACUAGAGUGCGGGAGGGGGUAGCGGAAUUCCUAGUGUAGCGGGGAAAUGCGUAGAUAUUAGGAGGAACACCGGUGGCGAAGGCGGCUUACUGGACCGUAACUGACGUUGAGGCUCGAAAGCGUGGGGAGCAAACAGGAUUAGAUACCCUUGUAGUC
rnacentral:rRNA from 1 species